UGAAUAAGGAUCGGCUAACUCCGUGCCAGCAGCCGCGGUAAUACGGAGGAUCCGAGCGUUAUCCGGAUUUAUUGGGUUUAAAGGGUGCGUAGGCGGCCUUUUAAGUCAGCGGUGAAAGUCUGUGGCUCAACCAUAGAAUUGCCGUUGAAACUGGGGGGCUUGAGUAUGUUUGAGGCAGGCGGAAUGCGUGGUGUAGCGGUGAAAUGCAUAGAUAUCACGCAGAACCCCGAUUGCGAAGGCAGCCUGCCAAGCCAUUACUGACGCUGAUGCACGAAAGCGUGGGGAUCAAACAGGAUUAGAUACCCUGGUAGUCCACGCAGUAAACGAUGAUCACUAGCUGUUUGCGAUACACUGUAAGCGGCACAGCGAAAGCGUUAAGUGAUCCACCUGGGGAGUACGCCGGCAACGGUGAAACUCAAAGGAAUUGACGGGGGCCCGCACAAGCGGAGGAACAUGUGGUUUAAUUCGAUGAUACGCGAGGAACCUUACCCGGGCUUGAAUUGCAACUGAAUGAUGUGGAGACAUGUCAGCCGCAAGGCAGUUGUGAAGGUGCUGCAUGGUUGUCGUCAGCUCGUGCCGUGAGGUGUCGGCUUAAGUGCCAUAACGAGCGCAACCCUUGCCACUAGUUACUAACAGGUGAUGCUGAGGACUCUGGUGGGACUGCCAGCGUAAGCUGCGAGGAAGGCGGGGAUGACGUCAAAUCAGCACGGCCCUUACAUCCGGGGCGACACACGUGUUACAAUGGCGUGGACAAAGGGAGGCCACCUGGCGACAGGGAGCGAAUCCCCAAACCACGUCUCAGUUCGGAUCGGAGUCUGCAACCCGACUCCGUGAAGCUGGAUUCGCUAGUAAUCGCGCAUCAGCCAUGGCGCGGUGAAUACGUUCCCGGGCCUUGUACACACCGCCCGUCAAGCCAUGGGAGCCGGGGGUACCUGAAGUCCGUAACCGAAAGGAUCGGCCUAGGGUAAAACUGGUGACUGGGGCUAAGUCGUAACAAGGUAGCCGUACCGGAAGGGGCGGCUG
rnacentral:rRNA from 1 species